rnacentral:rRNA from 1 species
GUCAAUAGCCUAACGGCUGAACCAGCAACUUGGGGGAAUGAAUAGCUUCGGCUAAUUACACUUGGCUGUCUAGUUUAUAAUAUUUAUUAUAAAUUAUUCAUUUUUCCACUUUUUGAGGUUUAUACUACUAAUCAUAGUAUAGUAAUAAUUAAUUUGCUACUUUUAUAUUAAGAGAAUUUAUUCUCGUAGACAAGUGUAAGAUCGAUUUUAUCGAGUAAAGUUCUAGAAGGUAUAUUUUGAUUAUGACAUAGUUACCAUCUAUAUGUCUUGACCAAAUUACGUGCCAGCAGUCGCGGUAAUACGUAGAAGACUAGUGUUAUUCAUCUUUAAUAGGUUUAAAGGGUACCUAGACGGUAUAAUUAGUCUUAAAUAAGAAACGAUUAUACUAGAGUUAUAUAUGAGAAGGGGAGUAUUUAUGGAGUAAAGUUGAAAUUUUUUGAUCCCAUAGAGACUGGUAACGGCGAAGGCAACCUUUUAUCUAAUAACUGACGUUGAGGGACGAAGGCUCGGGUAGCGAACAGGAUUAGAUACCCUAGUAGUCCAAGCAGAUAAUGAUGAAUGCCAUAGAUUAGAUAUUUAUUUAGUCUAUAAAUGAAAGUGUAAGCAUUUCACCUCAAGAGUAAUGUGGCAACGCAGGAACUGAAAUCAUUAGACCGUUUCUGAAACCAGUAGUGAAGUAUGUUAUUUAAUUCGUAAGUACGCGAAAAACCUUACCACAACUUGAAUAUUAUCUCUAAGAUAUUACAAGCGUUGCACGGCUGUCUUCAGUUAAUGUCGUGAGAUAUUGGUUAAUUCCAUUAAAUUAACGGAAACCCUUGCUUUAUUUGCAAAUUUUAUAAAUAAAGCAGUUCACUUUUAUAUUGGAUAUGAUAACAGGGGCCAAGACAAGUCAUCAUGGCCUUAAUGUUGU